rnacentral:rRNA from 1 species
AAUAGAUACCCCGGUAGUCCACGCCGUAAACGAUGAGUGCUAAGUGUUAGAGGGUUUCCGCCCUUUAGUGCUGCAGCUAACGCAUUAAGCACUCCGCCUGGGGAGUACGGUCGCAAGACUGAAACUCAAAGGAAUUGACGGGGGCCCGCACAAGCGGUGGAGCAUGUGGUUUAAUUCGAAGCAACGCGAAGAACCUUACCAGGUCUUGACAUCCUCUGACAACUCUAGAGAUAGAGCGUUCCCCUUCGGGGGACAGAGUGACAGGUGGUGCAUGGUUGUCGUCAGCUCGUGUCGUGAGAUGUUGGGUUAAGUCCCGCAACGAGCGCAACCCUUGAUCUUAGUUGCCAGCACUUAGUUGGGCACUCUAAGGUGACUGCCGGUGACAAACCGGAGGAAGGUGGGGAUGACGUCAAAUCAUCAUGCCCCUUAUGACCUGGGCUACACACGUGCUACAAUGGAUGGUACAAAGGGCUGCAAGACCGCGAGGUCAAGCCAAUCCCAUAAACCAUUCUCAGUUCGGAUUGU